AUAAAUCUGAUAAACUCAAAAUCCCUCCCCUUUUCCCUCACCUUGCUUUUUGUUUUCCCAUAGUCCUAUUUCUUUUUCUUUUUCCAUUCUUCACCUGAGUUUUGAGAAGAAUUGACGAAUUGUUCUUUUGAAGUACUUGAUCUCUAGUGCUUUGCUUUCUUUAAUUCUUGAUAUUCAAUUCGCUAGGGGGGUGUUCAUGUGUUUAGGCUUCUAUGUAAUUGGUGAGGUUUGUGAGACGGACGAUCUCUCGGCAAGUUAUGUAAUAGCCCAAAUUUCAGCGACGUAGGAAAUAGUGGUUCGAGACCAUUAAAUUUGGCAAAUGAACUCGUAAAUUAUAUUAUUUAAUUUUUACGAGCCAAAUGUAACUUUUAAAAGAUUUUUGAAAUAGUAAACCGUGUUUUAUAAAGA